rnacentral:rRNA from 1 species
AGAGUUUGAUCAUGGCUCAGGACGAACGCUGACGGUGUGCUUUAGACAUGCAAGUCGAACGAGAAAGCCCUUCGGGGUGAGUACAGUGGCGAACGGGUGAGUAACACGUGGGUAACCUGCCCCUCGCAGGGGGACAACCGGGGGAAACCCCGGCUAAUACCCCGUACGCUCCGAGGUCCGCAUGGUCCUCGGAGGAAAGGUAGCUUCGGCCAUCCGGCGAGGGAUGGGCCCGCGGUCCAUUAGCUAGUUGGUGGGGUGACGGCUCACCAAGGCGACGAUGGAUAGCUGGUCUGAGAGGAUGAUCAGCCACACUGGGACUGAGACACGGCCCAGACUCCUACGGGAGGCAGCAGUCGGGAAUCUUGCGCAAUGGGCGAAAGCCUGACGCAGCAACACCGUGUGGGCGACGAAGGCCUUCGGGUCGUAAAGCCCUGUUGUUGGGGACGAAGGGCGAAGGGUUAAUAGCCCCUAGCUUGACGGUACCCUUCGAGGAAGCCCCGGCUAACUACGUGCCAGCAGCCGCGGUAAUACGUAGGGGGCGAGCGUUGUCCGGAAUUAUUGGGCGUAAAGAGCGUGUAGGCGGUUCGGUAAGUCUGCCGUGAAAACCUGAGGCUCAACCUCGGGCGUGCGGCGGAUACUGCCGGACUAGAGGACGGUAGAGGCGAGUGGAAUUCCCGGUGUAGCGGUGAAAUGCGCAGAUAUCGGGAGGAACACCAGUAGCGAAGGCGGCUCGCUGGGCCGUUCCUGACGCUGAGACGCGAAAGCUAGGGGAGCGAACAGGAUUAGAUACCCCGGUAGUCC